rnacentral:rRNA from 1 species
GGACGAACGCUGGCGGCGUGCUUAACACAUGCAAGUCGAGCGGUAAGGCCCUUUCGGGGGUACGACGAGCGGCGAACGGGUGAGUAACACGUGGGUGACCUGCCCUCAGCUCUGGGAUAAGCCCGGGAAACUGGGUCUAAUACUGGAUAUGACUCCACGGUGCAUGUCGUGGGGUGGAAAGCCUUGUGCGGCUGAGGAUGGGCCCGCGGCCUAUCAGCUUGUUGGUGGGGUGAUGGCCACCAAGGCGACGACGGGUAGCCGGCCUGA